ACAGGAGGAGGAAAUGAAAGAGGGAGGAAGAGAGGGAGGGAGGGAAAUUUUACCAUAUAUACCUCGGAAGAGAAACUCAGCCUCAUACUUAACUAGGAUGACAGAUUGUAUACUAUCACUCCUAACUCUUGGUUGAGAAGGAGCCUUACAUUUUCCUCAAGGUGGCCUCCAUUCACGAUCCUUCUGAUUUCAGCCUACUGAAUAGCUAAGAGUGUAGGUGUGAGCCACUGGUACCUUUUAAAAUACAAAACAGAAUGGUAGCAACUUUAUAGUAAAGAAAGCAUGAUAGAUCCUUAACUUGAACCAAGUGAACAAGGGCUGCCUUACCUAUGACUAGAUAUGCCAAUGUCAAGAACUCCACUAUAUGUUCUAAUAAAAAUACAUAAUGCUGCUUUUGUGGUGUUCUUAUGAGAAAA